UUGUGCUGCUUCUCCAGUAAGUCAAAUGAUAGCAAAGCAAACCAUUGCCCUAGAUAUACCGAAGAAAUAAAAUUGCUAGGAGUUCUGACAUAUACAUUUAAUUAAUUCCAACAUCACAGUACACAAAGCAAGGUUAAGAGAAAAAAAAGUACUUAUUAUUUAUUUCUUUUGUUUCAUGUUUUACAGGAAUUUGGUCUAAGCAUCAUUUUUGCAAGUGCAAUAAGAAAAAUGAACAGAACUUCUACUCACUCACAGUCUUGUCUAGACACAUCAUCCAAGUUUCUUAUUCUUUGCAAUAUCUUAUGAAAUCAUGAAGGUAACACACAUGUCUUCUUAAGCCAAAUCAUUUUGCAUAGUUCUCCUUUUCAUUUUAUGCAAAGAUUUGGUCAGUACCAAUAAAUAACCUGCAAAUAUUUAUUUAGAUUACAAAUGCACAAUAUUCUUUAGUCUGCUUUAUUAAUAUUUCCUGUGUUAGGAAAGCCUAAGCUUCUUUGAUUCCACUGCUUUAGCAAACUAAGUAAAUUCACAUAAAAUCACUGGGUAACAUAGAUAUCACUGGAUAAAAUUCACAUAGAAAAGUGGCAAGAGGAGAAAUGGAAUUUAUUUGUGAAAUCUGUCCAUGAGAAUCAAGCUGAAUCUUCUCUGUACAUUGCUAGUAAAUCAAUAUGCAAAAUUAAAAAAUGAAUGAACAAUUUGGCUAAAUAUCAUGCACUCAGUACUAACACCUAAUCCCUACUAACCAAAGAGAGGUGAUCCUGGACAAGGACAAUAUUCCAAACUCUUUUCACUUCCUCUUCCAUUACAUGGUCUGUUAAAAUAUUAACUAAGAAUAAAAACACUAGGUUUUAUCAUUUAAUAACGCUAACAUUUAUCAUUAUAGAAGUGCUCCUAUUUUACUAUAUCAAAAACAACCUUUUCUCUUUCUUUCUCUCUCUCUCUCAUAGAACAAAGGCUCUUAGGCAUUGCUGGCCUCAGUGUUUCAGAAGAACAUCUGUAGUUGACCAUCAUUCACUCCUGAUCAAACGGGACC
rnacentral:lncRNA from 1 species